rnacentral:rRNA from 1 species
GGGCCCGCACAAGCGGUGGAGCAUGUGGUUUAAUUCGAUGAUACGCGAGGAACCUUACCAGGGCUUAAAUGUAGUCUGACAGCUUUAGAGAUAGAGUUUUCUUCGGACAGAUUACAAGGUGCUGCAUGGUUGUCGUCAGCUCGUGCCGUGAGGUGUCAGGUUAAGUCCUAUAACGAGCGCAACCCCUGUCGUUAGUUGCCAGCAUGUAAAGAUGGGGACUCUAACGAGACUGCCGGUGCAAACCGCGAGGAAGGUGGGAUGACGUCAAAUCAUCACGGCCCUUACGUCCUGGGCCACACACGUGCUACAAUGGCCGGUACAGAGAGCAGCCACUACGCGAGUAGGAGCGAAUCUUCAAAGCCGAUCACAGUUCGGAUCGGAUCUGCAACUCGACUCCGUG